rnacentral:rRNA from 1 species
UACAGAGGUCUCAAGCGUUGUUCGGAAUCACUGGGCGUAAAGGGUGUGUAGGCGGUGUGCUAAGUCAGAUGUGAAAGCCCGGGGCUCAACCUCGGAACUGCAUCCGAUACUGGCAUGCUAGAGAAUUGGAGAGGAGUCUAGAAUUCACGGUGUAGCAGUGAAAUGCGUAGAUAUCGUGAGGAAUACCAAGUGCGAAGGCAGGACUCUGGACAUUUUCUGACGCUGAGACACGGAAGGCCAGGGGAGCAAACGGG